rnacentral:rRNA from 1 species
GUGCCAGCCGCCGCGGUAAUACGUAGGUGGCAAGCGUUAUCCGGAAUUAUUGGGCGUAAAGCGCGCGUAGGCGGUUUUUUAAGUCUGAUGUGAAAGCCCACGGCUCAACCGUGGAGGGUCAUUGGAAGCUGGAAAACUUGAGUGCAGAAGAGGAAAGUGGAAUUCCAUGUGUAGCGGUGAAAUGCGCAGAGAUAUGGAGGAACACCAGUGGCGAAGGCGACUUUCUGGUCUGUAACUGACGCUGAUGUGCGAAAGCGUGGGGAUCAAAC